AGCUUUGCGCAGUGGCAGUAUUGUAGCCAAUGAGGUUUAUCUGAGGCACGAUUAUUGCUAAUUGAAAACUUUUCCCAAUACCCCGCCAUGACGACUGGAAAUAUAGGUGGCAUAAAAUUUAUUAAUAAA
rnacentral:snRNA from 1 species